GACGUUCGUCCGACGUGGUGUACAUGACGACCACGACGGCGGUACCGCUGCCCUCUACAACUACGACGUUAACCUCUACGCGACCACCGGAGGAAAACGCCCGCCCGUGACCACAACGGUCUGGCCGGUCACGAGUGGACACAGCGGCGGCCGAUGUUUGCUGCCCUGGCGUUGUAGUAGUAACAACGCCCUUAUACUGCAAAAUCUUUAGGAUGCUUGCCUUCCUCCGGGAGCACGCGAAGUAAGAGAUACACAUCACGGCGACUUAUAAGUCGCAGAAGGUUCAUAAUAACACCUUAGCAAGUAAAGACUUCUUGUCGGUUGAGACGUAAGUCCAUCUUAUGGUUAGUAACCAAGCAGUAGUAUUCGUCAGGACCUGUAAAUAGACUACGCCAAUUCUGUGGUUUAAAAAUUGACGGAUAGCCGUUGUGUCUUCUAUAUUCAUAAUAAAAAGUACUCCCGAAUACUUAAACGAUCCCGUAUCAAAAAGUGGACGAAACGAACCACCACCACACAUGGUAUGUAUGACGGAGUGUGCCUUUAUUCGUCAUCGUCAACUUCACAUUGUACACUGCUACUUGUUUUAUCCACAACUAGAAAAAAGCGCCUUCUUUUAUCGACAACCAUACGAGUCGACUACUAAAAGUACGGCACGACAUAACACUUAAAGAGACAAUCCGUGUAACAGAUAAGAUGGUAUAUUGACUCUAGACGUGAUGAACCUUCAACCUUUCCAUUAGUAACCAAGUAACGACACGAACCCAUUCUCAACAACAACUGUAA
rnacentral:rRNA from 1 species